rnacentral:rRNA from 1 species
GUCAGNNGGUGAAAUUCUCAGAUUAACUAAAGACUAACUUAUGCGAAAGCAUUUGCCAAGGAUGUUUUCAUUGAUCAAGAACGAAAGU